AUUGAACGCUGGCGGUAGGCCUAACACAUGCAAGUCGAACGAGCGGCGGACGGGUGAGGAAUAUAUCGGAAUCUACCUUGUCGUGGGGGAUAACUACGGGAAACUUUCGCUAAUACCGCAUACGAUCGGCUGAGCCCAUGUGGGAUUAGCUAGUGGGUGGGGUAAAGGCUCACCAAGGCGACGAUCCGUAGCUGGUCUGAGAGGAUGAUCAGCCACACUGGAACUGAGACACGGUCCAGACUCCUACGGGAGGCAGCAGUGGGGAAUAUUGGACAAUGGGCGCAAGCCUGAUGCAGCCAUGCCGCGUGGGUGAAGAAGGCCUUCGGGUUGUAAAGCACUUUUGGUGGGAAAGCGGUACCCAAAGAAUAAGCACCGGCUAACUCCGUGCCAGCAGCCGCGGUAAUUC
rnacentral:rRNA from 1 species